rnacentral:rRNA from 1 species
GAGCGGCGGACGGGUGAGUAACGCGUGGGUGACCUGCCCCAUACCGGGGGAUAACAGCUGGAAACGGCUGCUAAUACCGCAUAAGCGCACAGAGCUGCAUGGCUCGGUGUGAAAAACUCCGGUGGUAUGGGAUGGGCCCGCGUCUGAUUAGGCAGUUGGCGGGGUAACGGCCCACCAAACCGACGAUCAGUAGCCGGCCUGAGAGGGCGACCGGCCACAUUGGGACUGAGACACGGCCCAAACUCCUACGGGAGGCAGCAGUGGGGAAUAUUGCACAAUGGGCGAAAGCCUGAUGCAGCAACGCCGCGUGAGCGAUGAAGGCCUUCGGGUCGUAAAGCUCUGUCCUCAAGGAAGAUAAUGACGGUACUUGAGGAGGAAGCCCCGGCUAACUACGUGCCAGCAGCCGCGGUAAUACGUAGGGGGCUAGCGUUAUCCGGAAUUACUGGGCGUAAAGGGUGCGUAGGUGGUUUCUUAAGUCAGAGGUGAAAGGCUACGGCUCAACCGUAGUAAGCCUUUGAAACUGGGAAACUUGAGUGCAGGAGAGGAGAGUAGAAUUCCUAGUGUAGCGGUGAAAUGCGUAGAUAUUAGGAGGAAUACCAGUUGCGAAGGCGGCUCUCUGGACUGUAACUGACACUGAGGCACGAAAGCGUGGGGAGCAAACAGGAUUAGAUACCCUGGUAGUCCACACCGUAAACGAUGAUUACUAGGUGUUGGAGGAUUGACCCCUUCAGUGCCGCAGUUAACACAAUAAGUAAUCCACCUGGGGAGUACGACCGCAAGGUUGAAACUCAAAGGAAUUGACGGGGGCCCGCACAAGCAGUGGAGUAUGUGGUUUAAUUCGACGCAACGCGAAGAACCUUACCAAGUCUUGACAUCCUGCGACGAUGCUGGAAACAGUAUUUUCCUUCGGGACGCAGAGACAGGUGGUGCAUGGUUGUCGUCAGCUCGUGUCGUGAGAUGUUGGGUUAAGUCCCGCAACGAGCGCAACCCUUACUGUCAGUUACUACGCAAGAGGACUCUGGCAGGACUGCCGUUGACAAAACGGAGGAAGGUGGGGAUGACGUCAAAUCAUCAUGCCCUUUAUGACUUGGGCUACACACGUACUACAAUGGCGUUAAACAAAGAGAAGCAAGACCGCGAGGUGGAGCAAAACUCAGAAACAACGUCCCAGUUCGGACUGCAGGCUGCAACUCGCCUGCAUGAAGUCGGAAUUGCUAGUAAUCGCAGAUCAGCAUGCUGCGGUGAAUACGUUCCCGGGUCUUGUACUCACCGCCCGUCA